UUCCUCAUUCCCUUCUUCUUCCGUUUUCUCCUCGUCUCUGGCCCCCGGCAGCUUAUCUUUGUUGUUUUCUUUUUUUCCACUUCAUCCUCCUGUUCUGGAACCAGAUCUUCACUUGUCUCUCGGUCAGUCCCAGGGCGUGAGAGACCUCAAUCCGUCGCUUCCGUGUCAAAUACGGGUUGAAGAGGAACUCCUUUUCUAACUCCAGGGUCUGGUACCGGCUGCGAUCUCAAAGGCGUUGCAUGGUGCCUCUGCGUGCCCGCACGGUGCGUUCCCGGUGCUCUUGACUUCUCUUGUAAUCUGUCGCAGCAGCCUCUUCACUGAUGGCAGCAAAUGAAUGCGCUGGGAGGUCAGCCUAGGUAACCUCAACAGGGAAGAUCCAUCCGAGGGAAUAAAGUAAAUCCGGAGCUCAGAGAGAGCGACUUCGGGUGAAAGAGAGGAGAAGUGAGGCAGGGAAUGCUGAGCUCCUUUUGUGCGUUUGCCAUCGGGCUUCUCCUGUAGAAAAGAACCCCAAAAAUGCCCCUCGACGUUUUUGGUCCUCGAUAGCGAUUUUUUUUUGGGGGGGGGGGGAGGGGGUAUUUUGUUUCUGCGUUCCGUUGUUGGCAGUGCCCCUCUCCCCCACUUUUUUGCACCGCAGUCUCUCACUUUGGACGCUCCGUUUUACGGUGGCACGAAGGAAUUCGGCUCAUUAAAAAACAAAAAAAAGAGAGAGAAAGAAAAUUCACCUCCGACCAUCGGGAUUCGCCUUAAUUUCUCGAGGUGGGGUCGAUGGGAGGUGG